rnacentral:rRNA from 1 species
AGUGAACGCUGGCGGCAGGCCUAACACAUGCAAGUCGAACGGCAGCACAGAGGAGCUUGCUCCUUGGGUGGCGAGUGGCGGACGGGUGAGGAAUACAUGGGAAUCUGCCCAAUCGUGGGGGAUAACGUAGGGAAACUUACGCUAAUACCGCAUACGACCUACGGGUGAAAGCGGCGGACCGCAAGGCGUCGCGCGAUUGGAUGAGCCCAUGUCGGAUUAGCUAGUUGGCGGGGUAAAGGCCCACCAAGGCGACGAUCCGUAGCUGGUCUGAGGGGAUGAUCAGCCACACUGGAACUGAGACACGGUCCAGACUCCUACGGGAGGCAGCAGUGGGGAAUAUUGGACAAUGGGCGCAAGCCUGAUCCAGCCAUGCCGCGUGAGUGAAGAAGGCCCUCGGGUUGUAAAGCUCUUUUGUCCGGAAAGAAAAGCUUUCGGUUAAUACCCGGAAGUCCUGACGGUACCGGAAGAAUAAGCACCGGCUAACUUCGUGCCAGCCGCCGCGGUAAAAC